GACGAACGCUGGCGGCGUGCUUAACACAUGCAAGUCGAACGGAAAGGCCCUGCUUUUGUGGGGUGCUCGAGUGGCGAAGGGGGGAGUAAAACGUGAGUAACAUGCCCUUGACUUUGGGAUAACUUCAGGAAACUGGGGCUAAUACCGGAUAGGAGAUCCUGCUGCAUGGGGGGGGUUGGUAAGUUUCGGCGGUUGGGGAUGGACUCGCGGCUUAUCAGCUUGUUGGGGGGGUAGGGGCUUACCAGGGCUUUGACGGGUAGCCGGCCUGAGAGGGGGACCGGCCACAUUGGGACUGAGAUACGGCCCAGACUCCUACGUGAGGCAGUAGUGGGGAAUAUUGCACAAUGGGCGGAAGCCAGAUGCAGCAACGCCGCGUUCGGGAUGACGGCCUUCGGGUUGUAAACCGCUUUCGCCUGUGCCGAAGCGUGAGUGACGGUAAUGGGUAAAGAAGCACCGGCUAACUACGUG
rnacentral:rRNA from 1 species